GGGGUCGACUGGUUUUGACAGCGAGAUUAAUUGAAUGGUAAGCACGCCGUGUAAUGACUUUGAAACACGUAAAAGGCUAGGUCAAAAUUUAAACGGCGAGAAUAACUACGCUUUAGCUGCUUAAUCUGAAUCGAGUAAGAUAAGCCUCGGCACACAAGGUGUGCAAGCUAAAUGUCUCUAGAAAGCCUUGGUUAGCGGCGGUCUGUAUAGAGGCAUCGUAAAAGUUAACAUAGAUAGGGUAGUGCUUUGAUGCCCUUUUGAAACUAAAAAAGAUAAGUUGUGAGUAGAGUGUUUUUAAUCAGCUUACAAUCGAAAACCAUGAAAAAACUAAACGUGUAGAAAGCCUUUUUGUUACUUGUUUGGACGAGAGUUCGAUUCUCUCCGGCUCCACUA
rnacentral:tmRNA from 4 species